rnacentral:rRNA from 1 species
GACGAACGCUGGCGGCGUGCCUAAUACAUGCAAGUAGAACGCUGAAGGAGGAGCUUGCUUCUCUGGAUGAGUUGCGAACGGGUGAGUAACGCGUAGGUAACCUGCCUGGUAGCGGGGGAUAACUAUUGGAAACGAUAGCUAAUACCGCAUAAGAGUAGAUGUUGCAUGACAUUUGCUUAAAAGGUGCAAUUGCAUCACUACCAGAUGGACCUGCGUUGUAUUAGCUAGUUGGUGAGGUAACGGCUCACCAAGGCGACGAUGCAUAGCCGACCUGAGAGGGUGAUCGGCCACACUGGGACUGAGACACGGCCCAGACUCCUACGGGAGGCAGCAGUAGGGAAUCUUCGGCAAUGGACGGAAGUCUGACCGAGCAACGCCGCGUGAGUGAAGAAGGUUUUCGGAUCGUAAAGCUCUGUUGUAAGAGAAGAACGAGUGUGAGAGUGGAAAGUUCACACUGUGACGGUAUCUUACCAGAAAGGGACGGCUAACUACGUG